UUCCGAGGGGGAGGGAGUCUGAGCCAGCUCGACCCCUCCCCCAGGGCCGCCCUCCCCACUGGGGGUUUAUAGUCCCGAAGAGCCGCAUAGCCACGCCCCGCCGUCCAGGAAGGCAGUAUUUCACCAUCAAGGACAAGACCCUGGGUAUUUACAGACGGCCUCUCCCCUUCAAGCCAGUCACGUUUCUUGGCUCCCGGGUAGCUGGAGACGGCACCGCGGCACCGUUUGCCGAUUCC